GUCAGUUAUUAGGUCUCCAUCCCUCGCUCAAGCAGUCAAAUCCCUCCGCCUCGAGAAGCCUAAAUCCCCCUUCUCUUUGUUAGCUUCUCCUAUCCAAGAUCCAGAUGCGCUCACCACCGUCCUGUCGUUCCCCACCGUCGUCCGCAUCGAAGCCGCCUCACCAUGUCCCCUACCGGACUGUCAUGUCCCACCGCAGUUCGUCUCCCCUCCAUCCUGUCGUGUCCCCUGCAUCACCACCGCACUGUCGUGAUGGUCGCGCUGACCAUGGCCAUGCCAGCAAGGAUGACGGCGACGCGUGACCCAUGGUGACCUUGCUCCGGCUGGUAGUUGGACGACCACCGGAUCUACCCAGAUCGUACCCCCUCCUUCUCUCCAACAGGAACAUGUUCUUACCGGUGGUCAGGGUCUGAUGGUUGAUGGAUAUUGUCAUCUAAUUCAGGCUCUUGCACAAAAAAGACUUUGGCAACUAAAAAGGGAGUGCCUAUGAACGAAAUUCCCCCAUCUCCAUUUCGCCUCCUGAUUGUUCACCAUCUCUUGUAAAUUUUUUGAAACAAGCUAAGAGCACCAGCUUUGUGUGCUCAGCAACAGACAGAUCAUGAAAGUUCUCUACACAAUACCCAUGAAUGCUUGUGUUGCUUCUACUUUCUACCCAAUACCCAUGAAGAAUUGCUUCAUAGUUGCUGGUUGUUCCCAGUCAAUUAGCAAUUUCAUAAUUAAAUUAAUUGGGCAGGCAAUUGAUUUAGUGCAAAUCAUCAUUGUAUGUGUCUUUCGAGUUCGUCUAGUGAUAAUAAUCUAGGACAGAUUCGGUCUAGCCUAGGACAUAUACUUCAGGAAAGUAAGUAUCACAGAUUCAGCGUAGCCUAGCACAUAUCUUUUAGGAAUGUAAGUAUCACAGAUUUAGCAUAGCCUAGCACAUAUCUUUUAGAUCAAUGCGAUGUUUUAGUGUUCUUUACUCGGCUGUGCUCACGACUCACAAAGCAUUAUCACGUCGUGUGCAAGCUGCCAAAACACUAGGAGAGGUACAUACUUAGCAUACUUCAGUAUUUAGAACACUAACCGUACUGGAGUAAUUUUGUUGGUUUUUGGUAGACUUUAGUUAUUUUUUACUUUAUAUAGGCAAGUAAUUGUAAAUAUUCCCCACGGAGAUACCGACAGUAUAUGCUCUCCAUUUGACAUCUUACCUUAUUAAUCUUCAAGAUGUACUCAUGAAAAUGUAUGCAUUAGAAUUAUAUGUAAUUAUAUAUUGUAUAUUAUAUUCUAUUGACUGCACUUUGUAGUAUCUCCACACCACACUUAAAUAAAUCUCCUGGAAAUAUAUAGUGGACAUUAUGCUAUAAAAAAGUUGCAUAAUGAAUUUCUUUCUCAGGAAGUAAUUUUAUUUUCAGUGUGCAGUCAGGCUAUUGUGUUUGGAGGGUUGAUUCAACUUAUAGAAGGUGCAGUAUGCACCAAAGAGUAGUACACAUGGACAUGCCCGUGGGGUCAGCAUAGCUAUGGAGCCAGGUUGCUUCUGAAGUACAGUUUCCAAGACUUCAACAUAUUUGCGUCAACUUGGUGAAGGAUAAUUGAGUUGAGUUGCAGCUGAAUUCUCCGAUUGGAUCAAGAAGCAAAUAAAAUUAGAGAAUUUUACUUAGCAAUAACCGUAGUAUACAUUGAUAGAUGAAAAAAAUGUAAUAUCAUGCACAAGAUCAUUUUCUUUGUUUGAAUUAAUGCAAAUGCUAUGGUGUAAUAUUAUCCAUAGAUAUGUUCUAUGUAGUCAAAUUAAUAUAAAUGAUAUGUUAUUGCACAAACAA